rnacentral:rRNA from 1 species
AUCUUGGACAAUGGGGGAAACCCUGAUCCAGCGAUGCCGCGUGAGCGAAGAAGGCCUUAGGGUUGUAAAGCUCUUUCGCCCACGACGAUGAUGACGGUAGUGGGAGAAGAAGCCCCGGCUACCUCCGUGCCAGCAGCCGCGGUAAUACGGAGGGGGCUAGCGUUGUCCGGAAUUACUGGGCGUAAAGCGCGCGUAGGUGGUCCACCAAGUUGGGGGUGAAAGCCCGGAGCUCAACUCCGGAAUUGCCUCCGAGACUGAUGGACUAGAGUUCGGGAGAGGAGAGCGGAAUUCCCAGUGUAGAGGUGAAAUUCGUAGAUAUUGGGAAGAACACCGGUGGCGAAGGCGGCUCUCUGGCCCGUAACUGACGCUGAGGCGCGAAAGCGUGGGGAGCAAACAGG